rnacentral:rRNA from 1 species
AUGGCGGCCCCCUCCCGCACCUCCUGGGCCGACGUCGCCGACGCUGAACAUGCCCCUCCCGCUCCCGUUCCAGCGGCGGCGCCCGCCACAUCCAACGGCCCCGCGCGUGCCGACCGCUCCUCCUACGUCCCUCCCCACCUCCGCAACCGCUCCUCCUCCACCGCGCCUCCGGUGUCCUCCGCUCCACCCCCGCGCGCCGCGCCCGGCCUCCUCGGCCGCCCCACCAGCGGCGUCGGUGGGAGGUUCGGGGGAGGCGGGGCCCCACCUCGUAGGUGGGACCGGGAGCCCAACCCUUUCGGGGACGAGGAGGAGGUGCCGGCGGAGCCCGUGCCCUUCGACGAGCACCAGAACACGGGGAUCAACUUUGAAGCGUACGAGGACAUCCCCGUCGAGACCAGCGGCCGGGAGGUUCCGCCCGCCGUGGGCACGUUCGCGGAGAUCGACCUCGGCGCCGCGCUGAACGACAACAUUCGCCGGUGCAAGUACGUGCGGCCCACGCCCGUGCAGCGCCAUGCCAUCCCAAUCUCGCUGGCUGGGCGAGAUCUCAUGGCUUGCGCGCAGACUGGAUCGGGGAAAACGGCCGCCUUCUGCUUCCCCAUCAUCAGCGGCAUCAUGCGGGGCCCGCCCGUGCAGCGGUCACAGCGCGGCGGGAGUAGGACCGCCUGCCCUCUUGCCCUCAUCCUGUCGCCCACAAGAGAGCUGUCAAUGCAGAUUCAUGAAGAGGCGAGAAAAUUUUCAUAUCAGACUGGUGUCAGGGUAGUGGUUGCAUAUGGCGGGGCCCCUAUUACCCAGCAGUUGAGAGAUCUUGAGAGGGGUGUUGACAUUCUUGUGGCUACUCCUGGUCGUUUGGUUGAUUUACUGGAAAGGGCAAGAGUAUCCUUACAGUCGAUUAGAUACCUUGCCCUUGAUGAGGCGGAUAGAAUGCUGGAUAUGGGGUUUGAGCCGCAAGUUAGGAGAAUUGUUGAGCAAAUGGACAUGCCUCCACGAGGUGUAAGGCAGACGUUAUUGUUCAGCGCUACAUUCCCAGGAGAAAUACAGAGAAUGGCAUCUGACUUUCUGGAGAACUACAUAUUCCUGGCUGUUGGAAGGGUCGGAUCAAGUACUGAGUUGAUUGCCCAGAGAGUUGAGUUUGUACAGGAGGCAGAUAAAAGAAGUCACUUGAUGGAUCUGCUCCAUGCGCAAAGAGACAGUUCAGAACAAGGGAAGCAAGCUCUCACACUUGUCUUUGUGGAGACCAAAAGGGGUGCCGACUCACUGGAGAACUGGUUGUGUACGAAUGGAUUUCCAGCGACUUCUAUUCACGGUGAUAGAAACCAGCAGGAAAGAGAAUAUGCUUUGAGAUCCUUCAAGAGUGGUCAAACUCCAAUUCUAGUUGCAACUGAUGUGGCGGCCCGGGGCCUCGACAUUCCUCAUGUUGCUCAUGUUGUGAACUUUGAUCUCCCCAAUGAUAUUGAUGACUACGUACACAGGAUUGGUCGUACAGGGAGGGCAGGAAAAAGUGGAAUUGCGACUGCUUUCUUCAAUGACAACAACUCUUCGAUGGCAAAGUCUCUAGCUGACCUAAUGCAAGAAUCUAAUCAGGAGGUACCUGCGUGGCUUACUCGCUAUGCAGCUCGCCCAUCCUAUGGUGGUGGUGGUGGAAGGAACAGACGUGGUGCUGUAGGUGGGAGCCGCUUUGGUGGCCGUGACUUCCGUAGGGAAUCUUCUUCCUUUGGCAAGGGUGGUGGCGCCAGUGACUAUGCUGGAGGCAGCAGCUACGGGGGCGGUGGCUAUGGUGGUGCUGGAGCUCCCAGUGCCUGGGAUUAA